AUUAAUGCAUACUCGAGUACUGUAAAUGCAGUGCUCUUAUUAUAACGUCUGGUCACCGGACAAUUUCCGGAUAAUUGUGUUAAACCUCAGAUGCGCAUGCUCAGCAAAAUUGUCUUGCCACGUAUAUAAUAUAGUAAGCAGCUGGAAAUGAAAAUACUAUUAGCUAAAAAGACUACUAGUGCCAGAUAGUAGCGGCUAACAGUUUCUAAAGAUUGUUGAUAAGUAUAUCGUACAAAACUUUAAACACUUAACUUUGCUAGAGUAUGUCGUUAGUCUUUGAAGACACACUCAAAAUCAAAACAAGAGUCAAGAAUCAGAUUAAUUAUAAUAAUGUAAAACUUUAUAGUUUGUCUUUACGACCUUUCAUUAUUUUUUUGUCCUCUCAAUCAGUCUCUUGAUCAGCAUAAUGCUUUGAAAAGUUAGUAAGACACUACGUACUCUGUGACUAUAUGGAAGCUGCUACAAUAAUGAUAUUCACGUCUCUGUUCUACCUUAAUGCGGGUAAUUUUAGCGUUUUCAGAUUUUCUCUGUUUUUAGGGUACUAAUUUUGUCAUAGCACAGUAUUUAUCAAAAGAUGUACAAGUAUGAGUUUUUACGUCUCAAAACUACAUUAUGUAAUAUGUAUACUGUAGCCAUUUUUUUUGCAAGAAAAUGGCUAGUCGGUUUGUAGCCUCGAAUCCACGCCGAUUAAAAUACGGCCUGGUGUUCAUUGCAGGGGUGUUAGUGCACAUGCGCUGCACAAUUACUCAGAAUCUGGGUAAUCGUGCAUGCCAGUAAAACUUUUAGUAAAUGUUACCGUAAACUAGCUGUAAUACUUGGAAUUUGUUCCGUGUUACUAUCAAUGGCGUCGACUGAGUUUUGUGAAGCUGUGGCUUAUGCUCUUCGUUGCGUUGGUCUAAAGGAUCUCACACUGAAGCCAAAGCAAAAGGAGGCUCUCAUCCACCUGUAUGACGAUCAUGAUGUCUUUGUUUGGUUCCCCACGGGCUAUGGCAAGUCUUUGUGCUUCCAACUGCUCACUGAAGCGGACAAGCUAGCUCUACAAGAGUUGAGAGAAGUGUUGUGCUGGUGCUGUCACCACCAGUGUCUCUGAUAAUAGACCAGGUCUCAAGCCUCCGGAAGAGGGGUGUCUCUGCUGCUAUAUUGUCUGGCAACAAAGCUAGAUGUUGAGAAGGACCUCUUUGCUAGUGUGAGUGACGUGUCCGAGGGUCGGUUUUCUCUCCUCUAUAGUGUUCCCGAGGCACUCCUUGGCAGAGAAGCGUAGAAGCAGCUCCUGGUCCAACGUCCCCUCUGUGACUCUGUAGUGGCAGUCGCUGUUGACAAAGCACACUGUGCGUAUAAGUGGUACAGAGAUCUACCAUUGGGUUGCUGAGUACUGGCAGUCUCAACAGAAGUUGCUUGAGUAUAACGUUGCUCCAAUCCCUCAGCGGCACGUCUCGUUCACAUGGAGCAGUGACUAACAAAAUUAAUUAACAGUAAUUUUUGAAACUCAUCUUACUCUUAUUUUUAUAUUACUCUUGUCCUGGACGGGGAAACAGAGUCGCCUUCCAGCGGCUCCAACGGUCUGACGCUUAGCUAAUGGUGGUCUUGCUACGUGUGUGUGUGUGUGUGUGUGUGGAGAAACCUACCCCACUAGUGUCUUUGGAUAUCUUUCUCGGAGCCGAGUACUCAUUGAGCUGCCAGUGACACUUGUGAGAGGCCUGGGUAGCCAUCUAGCUCUCUGUUGUUUUAAUGUAUUUUUCCUAUGAACCAUGCGGUAUAACGUAUUCUCAUUCUGUUUAUUUUCCGUUUUAUUAUCAACAUAAAUUUAGCGCAUGUGCACUAACACCCCUGCAAUGAACACCAGGCCGUAUUUUAAUCGGCGUGGGUUCGAGGCUAGUCAGUUUGCUGCUCCUGUUAGUGACUCCAAGAAGUUUAAACUGCGUUCUUCUGCUAUUCCUGUCAAGACUAAUGCGCGUACCAAGUGAGGAGUUAAACUCUGGGCGGAUUGGUCAAGAGCAAGAGUUGUUGAAGUUGACCCUGUAUACCAAGCUGUCUCUCAAGUAAACCCAACAACACCGUUGCAUGCUAAAAAUGCCUGUGCGGUGCCUGUAUACCAGUUCGGGCAUCCCACGCUAUGGGAAGCAACCUGUUGGAAGAAAUAAGCUGUCUCAAAUCAUUUCAAAAAUAUGCGAAAACCUGGGAUGGGAUAGAAGGGAGAAAGACGGAACAUCUGGAAACUACUGCACUGUAUUGUCAAGACUUUAGUGACCAGCUAAUAAAGGAACGUACAGGACAUUGCUCGCUUGAAGUUCUGUAUAAAUACAAACGAAUUGGCAAUACAAUUAAGGUAUCCAUGGCACCACAAAUAGAGGGGAAAGAGAACAAGAAACCGUUACUGUCGUCUAUGCUAAGCCAGAAUAGAAGAUUUCUGAAGGUGAUGAUCGAAUAUCCCUAGAAGAAAAAGCCCAAAAUUUAACCAGAAGACCUCAAAGCCAUGUUUGAACAUUCAUCUUUGCAAAAUUGUACAAUCAAUAUUCAUAUUUUGCAUACCAUUCUGGUGCUCUUGAUUAAUUAGCGCGUAUUAAAUUUAGCGUUAAUUACAAAUUCGCUAAAAUUAGCACCCGUUUAUAAUAGUAACAAUAGACCAAUGUGUUCGAACCCC